rnacentral:rRNA from 1 species
GACGAACGCUGGCGGCGUGCCUAAUACAUGCAAGUUGAGCGAUGAAGAUUGGUGCUUGCACCAAUUUGAAGAGCAGCGAACGGGUGAGUAACGCGUGGGGAAUCUGCCUUUGAGCGGGGGACAACAUUUGGAAACGAAUGCUAAUACCGCAUAACAACUUUAAACAUAAGUUUUAAGUUUGAAAGAUGCAAUUGCAUCACUCAAAGAUGAUCCCGCGUUGUAUUAGCUAGUUGGUGAGGUAAAGGCUCACCAAGGCGAUGAUACAUAGCCGACCUGAGAGGGUGAUCGGCCACAUUGGGACUGAGACACGGCCCAAACUCCUACGGGAGGCAGCAGUAGGGGAUCUUCGGCAAUGGACGAAAGUCUGACCGAGCAACGCCGCGUGAGUGAAGAAGGUUUUCGGAUCGUAAAACUCUGUUGGUAGAGAAGAACGUUGGUGAGAGUGGAAAGCUCAUCAAGUGACGGUAACUACCCAGAAAAGGACGGCUAACUACGUG